rnacentral:rRNA from 1 species
CUCGUCGCCAUUGGGAUUCACCAAUCCCAUCCGCGCCCAUCCUCCAAACGUGCAAGGGUUCCGCCAACCCUUCGUCAAGUCUGCGCCCCCUCCGCCUCGUCUCCUACCUGCUCCCUCCUAUCCCACGUCAUUGCCCUCGAGCCCACGCCCCCUCCACCUCGUCUCCUCUCGAACGCCGCCGCCCUAGAUGCGCCGUCAGGGACGCCGUCGACACGUCGGGAUACGUAGGGAUGGAGCUCAGCCCGAGCCUAGCAGAAGCCUACUCCUAACCCUAUUCGCUCGAUUGACAAGAGCAGGGCAACGGAUUGGAUCGAGGGCGCCCGCACGGCCUCGCCGCCGCUGCCGCAUGGAUUCGCUAGCCGCCGCCUCGAGUUACCUCCGUCGCCGCCGCCGCGAGUCAGCUCCACCGUUGCCUUCAGGAAUCUCAUCCAGGCAAAUUAACUUCCUCCGAGUCCCUGCUCUCCCUGGUCCUCCUGCCCUGCUUUGUGUGUGUGUGUGCGUGCGUGCGUUCCAGGCAAAUUAACUUCCUCCGAGUCCCUGCUCUCCCUUGUCCUCCUGCCCUGCUUGAUGCGUGUGUGCGUGUGUGCAUGGGUGCGGGUGCGAGUGUGUGUGGGUGUGGGUGUGGGUGCGUAUGUUUUUAGUUCAAGUGUGGAUGCUCGGCAAUAGUGAUGUAGGUCAUUUUGUAGAACAGAAUGAUUAACUUGGUCUAUUUCUAGAGAAAAUUCCUAGGAAUUUUAUUGACGGAGGCAUCACUAUCUGGCGCUGGAUUAUACAUUUUUGCAGCACUACCACUAUUGUUUUUGUUUGGCAGGAAUGAAUGUUCUAGGGUUGGAGCAGAGGGGGUUGAGCAGCAGUUGAGCUUAGGCAUGAAUUUACAGAUUCAAGAUUUCCUUACACAUGGGGCUUUUUAUUCUCCUAAUGUUUCUAGGCUCAUAUCAGGUCACUUUGGAGGCUGAUAUCAGGUGGCUACUCAUGUCUAGCUUGGUGGCUUGGUGCCUAAAUUUUAGAUGUUCCAUUAAUCUUGGCUGCUUUUCUCAUCCGUUUUGGGCUUUAACCUUGGAUCUAGAAGGUAGCAGCUUCUUUGUUCUCCUACUCAAGAUUUGCUCAUUGUUCAGUUCAAGCCAUGUUCUUCAGGUAUCUUCCUUUACAUUUUCUUUACGUGAUGGUCAGUUGAUCUAGCCAAGGGCUUCUCUAUUGUUCUUGGUUUCUUGGAAUAUGUUUUGCUUUGCUAACAAAAUAGUAGGCAUGUGUGUGAGAUUACUUCUCGGUGAAUCUAACAUAAGAUUCUACCUUUAAUUCCAGACUGUUUUUAACUCUCACAAGCUCUUUUUGCUGUUAUGUGUUGCUGUAAGUUUGGACUUGCAAAGAGAACAAUUGAAAACUUGACCACGACAAUUAUAUUUACCGACUAUAAUGGUAACUGGGGAAUAAGCAUCCUAAGGCAUUUGUACCAAACAUGAUUUGAAUCCUUGGGCAUGCCAAUAUGUUCUCUCUAUUUUAGAGUAUGAUGCUCUCGACAAUUGGAAGAAUCAACAUGUAAAUCAAUUUAUAAGUAUAAAACCUUGUGAGCUGGAUCUCCAUUUUCAAUUGGCGUCUUUUCUUAAACAUUCAUACUUUUGAAAGCUUCUACAAGACUCUCCUUGGACCAUUCAGCACAUGUACUGUACCCCUGAGCAAGUUCAUGGAUACCCCUAUACUCCAAUAAGAUAUUAUAAGAACAUAACUAAAAGGAAAAUAAUAUCUCUCCAAAAAUAGAAUUUUCCUCAAAUCAUUUCUUGAGAUGCCCCCUGUAACCUAUGUUGCGUUUAUGACUGAAUUGUCUUUUCUUUAAGACUAGCAUGGUAUCAGCCUUUGGCAUCUUUAAUCUUCAAUGUAGAAGAUUAAGAUCAAAUAUGAUCGUAGCAAACACAAAUGAACACAAUAAAAAAUUUGAUGGUAAAAUUGUUCAGUGUCUGCCAUAUUAUAUUUUGUUACAAGUGAUAGUAGAAACUAACAAUGAAUUCUAUCUACAUUCAAUGAACUAUGGAGAACAUGUGCUUGGGAGGGGAUUUGGAAAGAACAGUUACGACGAGUUCUUGUUUUACUUAAUAAUCUUCAGUUUUCUAAUUCAUAGCUCUGUGUAGUGUGUAAACACUAACCAAAGGAGGAUCACAUUUUGUUAUUCUUUUUUUUUAAAUAAUUAUGAGUGAGUUGCAUUCUGUUGGUUCACUAAACUCGCCUUAUUGAUUGUUUCCAUACAGAAAUAAACCCUUUUGGUCAUUGUAGAUGUGUACUGUUGUAACAAUGCAUGUUAGCUACAGAUGUUAUAUAAUUCUUUUUAUAAAUCUUGACUGAAUCAAGAUAUCUUCUCCAGGAAAAUCAUUGUUUCUUCACUUCCAGGGCCAGCGUCACUCAACUUUGCUUGGAUCAUGCUUAUUUGUUUCUACAUUACCUUUGCUUAAUAUUUUCUCUUGAUUUCCUAUGUGAUUGAGAUGCGUGCCUAUCUCGACUGUUCUGUUGUGUUAGCAAUUUCUCGCCACUGGCCCAUUAUAACUGUUGUUCACAUACCUGGUGCACUUCUAAUUUUGAAUUGUGCUUGCUGAGUGCCCUCAUUUUUUUACUACCUUCCGUUGGUGUAUAUGCAAGCUGUAGAGCUUUGUUGUUCAAUCUGGUUAUAGCUUUAUUCUCCUAUUUUCUUACUCAUUCCCGCAUUGUCUUAGUUAUUAGAAAUGUAAAUAGGCCAUGUGAAAAUAAGCUAAAGUAGCUUUUUUGGGAGAUUUUUUGUGACACUGUUUUUUGUACAACAGAACCAUUUUUCUGCUAAGUAAAUUACUUUCUGUGUCCAGCAUCUGAUGGUUUGCUACCUAUAUUACUGGCUUGCAUGCUUUGAGAAAAUGAUUUUAGCAUGUUUGUCAUUCAUAUAUUUGUCCACCUGCGAAGGAAAAAAAUGUUAUUUGCUCAUGCCUCAUGUCAUAAAAUCAAAUCUCUGCACCAUGCUGAUAUUCUUCAUAAAGAAACCACUUGCUUUUACAAGUACUGGACUACUGUGAGUGUCGUCGUCUUCAUUGAUGGGACGACAAGAGCGGCAAUAGCGCUAGCCAGCGAGGCAGGCUGCUUGGCUCUGGGGCCGACACCUACCGUCCACUUCCGUUGGGCGGAUCUGCCACUUCAAAAACUUACGGUGGCAAUAAGCAAUCUCAAGAGCUUGUUGUGAUGAUUUGAAUGUAAGCAGUUUCCCUCGCUGUGCUUGUGUGCGCUUCUAUGUCUUUUGUGGUCUAUUCUUAGUGUAUGGAAUGGUUAUAUUAGCCCUGUAGUUUACUUUAAUUUUUGAAUCUUGAUGCAUCGAAAAUAGUUGUAAAGUGCAAGACCUUAUUUCUGUGGGUGAAAUAAUAGAUGCACAUUGGCUCUUUUAUUGUUUUUGAUUAUUGAAAGAGAGAUACACAUACUGGUUUGUAUUAAUGGUGCUCAAAGUUUAAAAACAUUAGUAAAACCAACGUCCAACUUUGUACAUCUGAAGUUUUGGAUUGUUGUGCCAACAAUAAACAGUAAAGGAGAAAUCUCCUUCAAUAUUCAGUUGGUACGCAGCUGCAACUUCUAUGUUAUAUUUGGAAGCUGCUCUAUGUGAUUUGUUGUGUAGUUUGUGAUCAAAUGAAGAUAGAAUUUUUAUGAUUAUAACAUGUGCAACAUGCUACUAACAGUCAAGUUUGUUUGAAUUUGUUCACUUUGUGGUCAGUGGAAAUAUGAUUGCCUUGUACACUUUUCCAGCGGAAGAUGAACUUGGUGUUGCUUGCUAUGAUGAAAUGAGGUGUUUGCCUGGUUGUAAAUUGCAUGCUGAUGUUAUUGUAGUUAUGUUCCGUUCUCUAAAGAAACAUGGGGUCGGAUGCAAUAGGUUAAGGAAAAGGGCAUUGUUCAGCUACGACAAUAGACAAUGAAGAGCUAAUCGAAGACAUUUCCUCAUGGCAAUAACCAAUGAAGAGCAAAUCAAAGGGAUAGAAAUAUUUUGUUGGCUGCAAGCCCCUAUUUUCUUCAACUAAGAGAUAUUAAAUUUAUUAUCAUAUGUGC